rnacentral:rRNA from 1 species
UACAGAGGUCUCAAGCGUUGUUCGGAAUUACUGGGCGUAAAGGGCUCGUAGGCGGCCAACUAAGUCGGACGUGAAAUCCCCCAGGCUCAACCUGGGAACUGCGUCCGAUACUGGAUGGCUUGAAUUCGGGAGAGGGAUGCAGAAUUCCAGGUGUAGCGGUGAAAUGCGUAGAUAUCUGGAGGAAUACCGGUGGCGAAGGCGGCAUCCUGGACCGACAGUUGACGCUGAGGAGCGAAAGCUAGGGGAGCAAACGGG